UACGAAGGGGGCUAGCGUUGCUCGGAAUCACUGGGCGUAAAGGGCGCGUAGGCGGCCAUUCAAGUCGGAGGUGAAAGCCCAGGGCUCAACCCUGGAAUUGCCUUCGAUACUGUCUGGCUAGAGACCGGAAGAGGUAAGUGGAACUGCGAGUGUAGAGGUGAAAUUCGUAGAUAUUCGCAAGAACACCAGUGGCGAAGGCGGCUUACUGGGCAUGUCCUGACGCUGAGGAGCGAAAGUGUGGGGAGCGGACAGG
rnacentral:rRNA from 1 species